GAAAUGCAUCCUCUGACCAUUCCCCCUGUUUCCAGCAGGCCCUCAGUGAUCCAGCUCUUCAGGAAUCUCUUUGGGCUCGGGCAGAGCGCGCAGGAGGGCCCAGAAACCAGAGCAGACGCACGAGAGCAGGGUAACGUCGGGGACCUAGAAGAAAACAGCUCCCUGGUGCCUGCUGGGGCUGAGUCUGAGACCAGCCAGCCAGCAGGCAAAGAGCUAACGGGCGACCACCCGACUGAUGAGCCCCGUGGAGAUGCAACAGGCGACCGCAUGGGGGAGAUCCUUGGAGAGCUGAAGGAUAUCAGUCUUGGGGGCACCCCUUCCAGCCGUGGCAGGAGAUCCCCUCCUAUGCUGGACCCCAGUGGCAUGGAGAUGGGAGACUCCGGUGACUGGGCCUUGUCAGACCUCUCUGAGAGCGGUAGCUGCAUUGACGCCAGCGUGGAUGUGGAGGAGAAGCAGAACAUGGGAAGUGGAGCAACAGGGGAGCCGUGCGGGCAAUGCUCUGAGACAGGAGAUGCAGGAGGAGCAUCUGCUGAGAGAUGGCCCUUGGGGAGCAGGCCCUCGGUGCUCCAGCUUGUUAGGAACCUCUUUGGGCUCAGGCAGAGUGUGCAGGAGGGCCCAGAAGCCAGAGCAGAUGCACAAGAGAGCGGGGACGUCAGGGACCUAGAAGAAAACAGCUCCCUGUUUCCUGCUGGUGCUGAGUCUGAGACCAGCGAGCCAGCGGCCAAAGAGCUAACGGGCGACCACCCAACCGAUGAGCCCCAUGGAGAUGCAACAGGCGACCGCAUGGAGGAGAUCCUUGGAGAACUGAAGAAUAUCAGUCUUGGGGGAGUCCCUUCCAGCCAUGGCAGGAGAUCCCCUCCUAUGCUGGACCCCAGUGGCAUGGAGAUGGGAGACUCUGGUGGCUUUGUCAACACUGCUGUGGGCAAAGAUAAAACAGCCCAGGAUCUAUGCAGCAGAAUCUCUGGCAGGGAGGCAGAGAGGGUGGGAGAAGCUUCUGGUGACACAGGAACAUGGGGAAAGGCUGGAAUCUCCCAGGUUCUGCCUGCUGACAACGAAGGAAUCACACUGACUGCAGGACCCCUGGCAAUGACCCCCAAGGACUUCCAUGCCAAGGAGGAGAGAGAGUGCCUCCUGAAAGAGGAUCUAAAUGGAGGAUCUCCGAAGGCAGAGCUGUCUCCAUGGAACAAACUCGUCAACAUGUACAAGCAGCGACGGAAGCUUCCUGUUCCUAAGGAAAACCCAGUGCAGCUAGAAAUGGAAGAGGGAUCCACUCUGAAUCUAACUGUUUAUGAAUUUGCAACACCUGAGCCUCAUCUCAUCUCUUCAAAAUCUUCCAGUACUGCCCUGAUCUAUAGGUUUCCUGAUGACGGAGCUGGGGAAGCUGUUGGCCACUUUGGGAGAGCCCAGGUAGACCUGAGGACAAAUGGACUGGGAGCUCCUGAAGCAGACUGAGAGCCUGCACCUAGAAGAGAUGGGACAGUGGCCCCAAGACCAAACUUAUGUUUUGAUCACGAUGAGUCUGCAAGUCCCCUUCAUCUAGCAGAUGAAGAAAGAAGAUUGAAACCUGUUCUUUGGUCCCCACUAGGCUGGUGUCUGGGACAAGGUCUGUUAGCUGCCAGCUUGUUCCUGUUUCCUCUUUCAGUGUCUACGUCUUCCCCCCUUUGAAUGUUUAUCCUCUUGCCUUCUCCUCUCCCUGCCACCUGAGGGAUGACCCCAUCUGUACUAGGCUGGCAUCCACUGUAUUUUUAGAGUAAGUGU
rnacentral:lncRNA from 1 species